GAAAGAGACAUCAUUUGUUAAGGAAUAAUGAUUAUUAUUCUUUUGUUGUCUCUUUUUAUACCUGUGCCUGCAGUGUAUGGAAGUUCCCCGAAGUUGGGGGUUGAAUCAGAGCUGCAUGCAGCUGAGGCCUACAGAUCCGAGCAGCAACACUGAAUCCAAGCUGCAUCUGUGACCUAUGCCACAGCUUGUGGCAAUGCCGGAUCCUUAACCACUGAGCAAGGCUGGGGAUCAAACCCUCAUCCUUACGGAGAUUACAUUGUGUCCUUAACCAGCUGAGCCACAGUGGGAACUCCUGAUUAUUAUUCUUACGGUAACACUUAUUUAAAUUGCCUAUCACUCUUAACUCUGCCCAAAUAUCAGCCAGCUCUGUGGAAUCAAUUGGUGUUUUAAUCUAGAAAUCUGAGCCUUCAUCCAACUUUGCAUGUUCUUAUGAUAGAGCUGAAAUAUGGAGAGCUAAUGACUGUCUCACCUCUUCUCUCCCCAUUUAUAGGGCCUUCACUAACCCAUAUGGCCUCUUAGUGCAAACUCAAAAAGAGGCCUCUCCCCUCAAGCAAAGAAGCCUUGUGUCAGGACAUACAGUGGACAAAGGAUUGCAAGCUGGAUCUCAGCUUCAAGUUAUCCUCUUGGCUGGGACCAAAGGCAAAACAUAGAGUGAGGCUCUCUGCUCUUCAGCCACCAUGCAAGACAAUUUCAGCCAUAGAACCUAUGGACACUGCCCUUUGGGCAAAGGACACAGAGGGAGCUGUCAUGCAUAAAGUUAUCAGCACUCAAGAUGAAAAACGGAAGCCCUUCCUCGAGGCAGUCCACCUGCCUGGCAAACAGUUGUUUUUUUAAGUAGGUAAGACCUCCCAGAUCCUGGAGAGAAAUGUGUACCUUGUGGCUAGAAGACCUUUCAGGAGCACAGCU
rnacentral:lncRNA from 9 species